rnacentral:rRNA from 1 species
ACUCUACGGGAGGCAGCAGUGGGGAAUUUUGGACAAUGGGCGAAAGCCUGAUCCAGCAAUGCCGCGUGUGCGAAGAAGGCCUUCGGGUUGUAAAGCACUUUUGUCAGGGAAGAAAUCUUUCGGGCUAAUACCCCUGGAAGGAUGACGGUACCUGAAGAAUAAGCACCGGCUAACUACGUGCCAGCAGCCGCGGUAAUAC